rnacentral:rRNA from 1 species
UACGGAGGUGGCAAGCGUUACUCGGAAUCACUGGGUGUAAAGGGCAAGUAGGCGGCUUAAUAAGUGAGGGGUGAAAUCUUCCGACUCAAUCGGAAAAUUGCCUUUCAAACUGUUAGGCUUGAGGUAGGAAGAGGGAAAUGGAAUUCUCGGUGUAAGGGUGAAAUCUGUAGAUAUCGAGAAGAACACCUGCGGCGAAGGCGAUUUCCUGGUCCUGUCCUGACGCUAAAUUGCGAAAGCUAGGGGAG